rnacentral:lncRNA from 1 species
AUGGUGAGUAAUGACGCAUUGUACCCAAGAAAGAAAAGGCUGUUAAAGGUGAGCACCUAUGUGUGAUAGCUGUUGAGUGUCGACCAGAAAAGUUAUGUCCAAUUCGAAGAACAGUCUUAACUCAGGCUUAAGGUCGGGUUACUCAAUGCUUAGAGAUGAACAAAUACCUCAAAUAGUAUGAACAACAUAAUUACCAUUGUUUUUUUUUUUUUAUUUUGGGCAGGGGUCCAGUGAACUAGGAACAA